rnacentral:rRNA from 1 species
CUAAUACCCGGGAGGAAAGACAUCACCCACAGAAGAAGCACCGGCUAACUCCGUGCCAGCAGCCGCGGUAAUACGGAGGGUGCGAGCGUUAAUCGGAAUUACUGGGCGUAAAGCGCGCGUAGGUGGCUUGAUAAGCCGGUUGUGAAAGCCCCGGGCUCAACCUGGGAACGGCAUCCGGAACUGUCAGGCUAGAGUGCAGGAGAGGAAGGUAGAAUUCCCGGUGUAGCGGUGAAAUGCGUAGAGAUCGGGAGGAAUACCAGUGGCGAAGGCGGCCUUCUGGACUGACACUGACACUGAGGUGCGAAAGCGUGGGUAGCAAACAGGAUUAGAUACCCUGGUAGUCCACGCCGUAAACGAUGUCGACUAGCCGUUGGGUCCUUCGCGGACUUUGUGGCGCAGUUAACGCGAUAAGUCGACCGCCUGGGGAGUACGGCCGCAAGGUUAAAACUCAAAUGAAUUGACGGGGGCCCGCACAAGCGGUGGAGCAUGUGGUUUAAUUCGAUGCAACGCGAAGAACCUUACCUACCCUUGACAUCCUGNGAAUCCUUCAGAGANGGNGGAGUGCCUUCGGGAACCCAGAGACAGGUGCUGCAUGGCUGUCGUCAGCUCGUGUUGUGAAAUGUUGGGUUAAGU